rnacentral:misc_RNA from 1 species
CAACCCCUUCAAGCUCAGCUUGUGUGUUGGGCGUCGUCCCCGCUGGACGCGCCCGAAAGGCAGUGGCGGCUCCGUGCUUCGGUGCCCGAGCGUAUGGGCUUUACAACCCGCUCUAGUGGCCCGGCCGGCGCUGGCCCCCCGAGUCUUAACUGGACUCCAGUUAAGGUCUCAACUAAAUUUUUCGU